UUGCUACUUCCUUCGUUUCAAAUUACUCGUCGUAGAAAUGGAUGUAUCUAGAACUAAAAUAUAUCUAGAUACAUUCAUACCUGCGAUAAAUAAUUCGGAACGGAGGGAGUAUUAU
rfam:Triticum urartu cultivar G1812 contig844563, whole genome shotgun sequence.